CCGUAGGUGAACCUGCGGAGGGAUCAUUACACAAAUAUGAAGGCGGGCUGGAACCUCUCGGGGUUACAGCCUUGCUGAAUUAUUCACCCUUGUCUUUUGCGUACUUCUUGUUUCCUUGGUGGGUUCGCCCACCACUAGGACAAACAUAAACCUUUUGUAAUUGCAAUCAGCGUCAGUAACAAAUUAAUAAUUACAACUUUCAACAACGGAUCUCUUGGUUCUGGCAUCGAUGAAGAACGCAGCGAAAUGCGAUAAGUAGUGUGAAUUGCAGAAUUCAGUGAAUCAUCGAAUCUUUGAACGCACAUUGCGCCCUUUGGUAUUCCAAAGGGCAUGCCUGUUCGAGCGUCAUUUGUACCCUCAAGCUUUGCUUGGUGUUGGGCGUCUUGUCUCUAGCUUUGCUGGAGACUCGCCUUAAAGUAAUUGGCAGCCGGCCUACUGGUUUCGGAGCGCAGCACAAGUCGCACUCUCUAUCAGCAAAGGUCUAGCAUCCAUUAAGCCUUUUUUCAACUUUUGACCUCGGAUCAGGUAGGGAUACCCGCUGAACUUAAGCAUAUCAAUAGCCGG
rnacentral:rRNA from 1 species